AGUGAACGCUGGCGGCGUGCCUAACACAUGCAAGUCGAACGAGAACGGAUUUUAGUUUACUAAAAUUGUCAGCUAAGUGGCGCACGGGUGAGUAAUGUAUAGUUAACCUGCCUUCAAGAGGGGAAUAAUUGAUGGAAACGUCUUGUAAUGCCCUAUAUGCCUUUAUAACAAAAGUUAGCAAGGGAAACGCUUUAGUGCUUGAAGAUGGGACUGUAUUGUAUCAGCUAGUUGGUGAGGUAAUGGCUCACCAAGGCAAUGACGCAUAACUGGUUUUGAGAGGAUGAUCAGUCACACUGGAACUGAGACACGGUCCAGGCUCCUACGGGAGCAGCAGUGGGGAAUAUUGCACAAUGGGGGAACCCUGAUGCAGCAACGCCGCGUGGA
rnacentral:rRNA from 1 species